GUAGUCCACGCUGUAAACGUUGGGCGCUAGGUGUGGGGACCCUCUCCGGGUGUCUGCGCCGCAGCUAACGCAUUAAGCGCCCCGCCUGGGGAGUACGGCCGCAAGGCUAAAACUCAAAGGAAUUGACGGGGGCCCGCACAAGCGGCGGAGCAUGCGGAUUAAUUCGAUGCAACGCGAAGAACCUUACCAAGGCUUGACAUAUACGAGAACGCCGCAGAAAUGUGGAACUCUUUGGACACUCGUAUACAGGUGGUGCAUGGUUGUCGUCAGCUCGUGUCGUGAGAUGUUGGGUUAAGUCCCGCAACGAGCGCAACCCUCGUCGUAUGUUGCCAGCACGUAAUGGUGGGAACUCAUAUGAGACUGCCGGGGUCAACUCGGAGGAAGGUGGGGAUGACGUCAAAUCAUCAUGCCCCUUAUGUCUUGGGCUUCACGCAUGCUACAAUGGCCGGUACAAAGGGCUGCGAUGUCGUAAGGCGGAGCGAAUCCCAAAAAGCCGGUCUCAGUUCGGAUUGAGGUCUGCAACUCGACCUCAUGAAGUCGGAGUCGCUAGUAAUCGCAGAUCAGCAACGCUGCGGUGAAUA
rnacentral:rRNA from 1 species